CCAGACUGAGAGUCUAGUGAUUAUUGUAAAUGAUUUUUAUGAGCUGGUUAACAUGUUUAAAAACGAAACAAUGCGGAGUGAAGUUGUGUGUCGUAGAUAUGGUCAAGAGGUCGACUGUACAUUAUUUGAUAUUCAGAUCAGUGAAUACAGCAUAUAUCUGGCCCAAGAUUCAUGGAGUUACAAACCAAAUCCAUGUCCUACGGAAAAUCAUUUAUUAAGAGAAAAGAAGAAUCGCCUGAAAGUUAAUGAGUUGGACAGCAGAAAGUUUAUUAUUUGUAAGUCAGGUGCUGUAAUGUAUGUUACCCAAUGUCCCAACAAGAUGCAUUAUUUCAAAAACGAAUUUAAAUGUCGCUUACCGCAAACUGAAACAGUUUCUUUAGAAAUAUCUGUAGCUGCAGUUGGUACAAUUAAUG